GAUAACUGGCUUGUGGCAGCCAAGCGUUCAUAGCGACAUAUUUUUGGAUUCUUCGAUGUCGGCUCUUCCUAUCAUUGCGAAGUAGAAUUCGCCAAUUGUUGCAUUGUUCACCUACUAAUAUGGAACUUGAGCUGCGUUUAAACCGUCGUGAGACAGGUU
rnacentral:ncRNA from 1 species